rnacentral:rRNA from 1 species
GAUGAACGCUGGCGGUAUGCUUAACACACGCAAGUCGAACGGACUCUUCGGAGUUAGUGGCGGACGGGUGAGUAACGCGUGAGAAUCUGGCUUUGGGUUCGGGACAACCACUGGAAACGGUGGCUAAUACCGGAUGUGCCGAGAGGUAAAAGAGAAAUUGCCUGAAGAUGAGCUCGCGUCUGAUUAGCUAGUUGGUGAGGUAAAGGCUCACCAAGGCAGCGAUCAGUAGCUGGUCUGAGAGGAUGACCAGCCACACUGGGACUGAGACACGGCCCAGACUCCUACGGGAGGCAGCAGUGGGGAAUUUUCCGCAAUGGGCGAAAGCCUGACGGAGCAAUACCGCGUGAGGGAAGAAGGCUCGUGGGUUGUAAACCUCUUUUCUUAGGGAAGAACAAAAUGACGGUACCUAAGGAAUCAGCAUCGGCUAACUCCGUG